UUCAGGGGUAAAGUGUUUUGUGCUUGGAAUUCUUCAAGGGUAAAGAGGUUUGACUUUUAAAUUUUUCAGAGCUUGGAAUUCUUCAGGGAUAAAGGGUUUUCAGCUUGGAAUUCUUCAGGGGUAAAAGUGUUUUGAGCUUGGAAUUCUUCAGGUGUAAAGGGUUUUGAGCUUGGAAUUUUGGAAUUCUUCAGGGGUAAAAGAUUUUGAGCUUGGAAUUCUUCAGGGGUAAACGGUUUUGAGCUUGGAAUUUUGGAAUUCUUCAGGGGUAAAAGGUUUUGAGCUUGGAAUUCUUCAGGGGUAUAACCAUGAAAAACAUGUAUCCUCGACAGGGGGUGUACGGAUAUUAAAUGGAAUAGCCCAUUGC